GGGACUGGGGCUCAGCGGUAGAGCGCUUACCUAGAAUGUGUGAGGCCCUGGGUUCAAACCUCAGCACCA
rnacentral:tRNA from 1 species